CACGUAGGGGGCAAGCGUUGUCCGGAAUUAUUGGGCCUAAAGCAUCCGUAGCCGGUUCUGCAAGUCCCCCGUUAAAUCCAGCUGCUCAACAGAUGGGCCGCGGAGGAUACUACAGAGCUAGGAGGCAGGAGAGGCAAGCGGUACUCAGUGGGUAGGGGUAAAAUCCGUUGAUCCAUUGAAGACCACCAGUGGCGAAGGCGGCUUGCCAGAAUGCGCUCGACGGUGAGGGAUGAAAGCUGGGGGAGCAAACCGG
rnacentral:rRNA from 1 species